AUUGAACGCUGGCGGCAGGCCUAACACAUGCAAGUCGAGCGGAUGAAGGGAGCUUGCUCCUGGAUUCAGCGGCGGACGGGUGAGUAAUGCCUAGGAAUCUGCCUGGCAGUGGGGGAUAACGUCCGGAAACGGGCGCUAAUACCGCAUACGUCCUGAGGGUGAAAGUGGGGGAUCUUCGGACCUCAUGCUAUCAGAUGAGCCUAGGUCGGAUUAGCUAGUUGGUGGGGUAAAGGCCUACCAAGGCGACGAUCCGUAACUGGUCUGAGAGGAUGAUCAGUCACACUGGAACUGAGACACGGUCCAGACUCCUACGGGAGGCAGCAGUGGGGAAUAUUGGACAAUGGGCGAAAGCCUGAUCCAGCCAUGCCGCGUGUGUGAAGAAGGUCUUCGGAUUGUAAAGCACUUUAAGUUGGGAGGAAGGGCAGUAAGUUAAUACCUUGCUGUUUUGACGUUACCAACAGAAUAAGCACCGGCUAACUUCGUG
rnacentral:rRNA from 1 species